rnacentral:lncRNA from 1 species
UUAAAUUCAGCUUCUCGGGCUUCGACAGUUCUAGAUAGAUUCACCUGUGAAGUUUUGAAAGCGUGGAGCUAGAGAACACGAGAACAGGCCCUUAACCCUGCAUGUUAAAUAUGUGAUGUGGAGUUAAUGAGAAGAGAUCAUGAAAUUGGGAGACUGAUUGUGUCGCAUAUACUCCCUCCUUUCAUAAAUAUAAGUCUUUUUAGAGGUUUUCGUAGAGGACUACAUACGAAUGUAUAUAGACAUACUUUAGAAUAUAGAUUCAUUAAUUUUGCACCGUAUGUAGUCCCUAUUGAAAUAUCUAAAAAGGCUUAUAUUUAGAAACGAAGGGAGUAUCAUUUAAUUAGCUGUGCACAUGAUCCAACAAAGAUAAAGUCGAAGAAUGUUGCACUGGCUUCAGAGUAUGUCUGGUACACGGACACCGUGAAUGAGGUCCGGUGCACACGCCCUACCAUGCAUGAUCGUCCGCUGCAUACGCUAGUUGCAUGAUCUAUUGAACGGCCAUACGUGAAGGUCCCCUAUAAACUAUGAAAUGGAGAGGGCUAGGGUGAGCUUAAUUAUCAUUUCUAUUAAUAUAAAAGCAUAGCCUCUGUUUGUUACAAUUACAAUUACGCUUAAGUUUGAUCAUCAUUCACCAGAACUGUCCCUUUCAGAUUAGAAACUGGUUCAACCAAGGAUUAUGGGAUUGUAUUUAUUUUAAGUGAAAACAGUUUCAUUUUUGCAAUGACAAGCAAAUUACCGUGCAAUUUAGAACCAGUAUGGAUGAGUAAUUCAAGGAAAAUGGUUUGUAUCAGUAACUCAGUAAUGUGAUUGUUAACAUGUCUAAAUGAUCUAACAAUUGCAAGCACCUUCAUUUGACUUUUCUACUCUUCUGCGCAUCAGCUUGAACAUCGAUGCCUUAAUCGAACCCGCGAUCAAACCACCAAGGCAAAGAGGAGGCAUUGUCUAAGAAAGUGGCCUAUCACCGGAGGAAAACCACGCUUUGUCAGCUCCAAAAGGCCAAAGAAUGCCAUGACGCCAUUUGUCUCCGGCUAGGGAGAAGGUCCUCUGCCCUCUCGCUCUAGUUGAGCCUGUACCAUCCGGAAGCAGAGUUGCUCACCUGACCACACAUGGAUAUAUAGUUCACUUAUGGACGUAACAAGAGUAUGGAUUUGUUUGAUCUUUGCCGUAAAACUUUUAACCAUCCAAAAUCAAUAACUAAAUCAUCUUCUUCUGGAGCGUAUUAGCACUAGUCUUAAUAACUNNNNNNNNNNCAAGCAGAUUUGCUCACCUGACCACACAUGGAUAUAUAGUUCACUUAUGGACGGAACAAGAGUAUGGGUUUGUUUGAUCUUAGCCGUAAAACUUUUAACCAUCCAAAAUCAACAACUAAAUCAUCUUCUUCUGGAGCGUAUUAGCACUAGUCUUAAUAACUCAGUUAUCUUCUAACAUCUCACUGGUAAUUUGCUUCUAGUAUGCAACUUGUGCAAGGCUCUGAGACCCAACAUGUGUUCUUAUCGCUGCUGGAGACGAUGCCAAGACAUGGUAUUAAAUACACAUGGAACUGCGGGACUCAUCUCACAUGCAUGAUAUGCAUGCCUUGGAGAUGUGAGCACAAUAGUUUC